AACGAACGCUGGCGGCAGGCCUAACACAUGCAAGUCGAACGUGAAGCUGGAGCUUGCUCCAGUGGAAAGUGGCAGACGGGUGAGUAACGCGUGGGAACCUUCCCAGUGGUACGGAAUAACUCAGGGAAACUUGAGCUAAUACCGUAUAAGCCCUUAGGGGGAAAGAUUUAUCGCCAUUGGAUGGGCCCGCGUCGGAUUAGCUUGUUGGUAGGUAACGGCCUACCAAGGCUACGAUCCGUAGCUGGUCUGAGAGGAUGAUCAGCCACACUGGGACUGAGACACGGCCCAGACUCCUGCGGGAGGCAGCAGUGGGGAAUAUUGGACAAUGGGCGAAAGCCUGAUCCAGCCAUGCCGCGUGAGUGACGAAGGCCCUAGGGUUGUAAAGCUCUUUUGGCGGGGACGAUAAUGACGGUACCCGCAGAAUAAGCCCCGGCUAACUUCGUG
rnacentral:rRNA from 1 species